UAACUCCGUAGAUGGUAACGUUUGUGGACACGAUGAAACCACAAAGUCUUUCUCUGAGCAUCGUUUAUCUUUUUGCUGAGCGUUGGUUUCCUUUGUUCGCUUCCAGUGCAUUUGAGGCGACUUCAAGAUCAAGUGACAGGCCAGGGAUCAAAGUCUUUCGCAUUUGUGAACAUGGCUUUGCUUGUAGGGCUCUUCAUAUUCUAUACUACAAAACCAGAGGCUUUUGACUUUUGAGCAAUGGGGAGCUCUUAGAAAGGUUAUUACUUCAACCCAAAAUUUUUCUAUUUGACACCUGAACAUCCCUACAAGAUUAUGGAAGGGGUCAGAUACAUUAUUGCAAGGUUAGAGAGAAGCCAACGAAACCAAGUAGCAGCAAUACAAGAGCUGAAUAGUGGGAUAUAUAUGAUACUGAUGCACCUCACCUAAAGAGGAUAGGAAUCAAGGUGCUCUCCCAGACAUGUUCUGCUACUAGCUGUGAGCCAACUAGAGUACGUUCCAAUGGUUGCACACUACUAGGAGAAAUCGACUCGUUUCGGAGAAGCUUCACAAACUAGUCUACGUUCAUUAGAACUUAAACCUCCGAGAGUGACAAAUAAGAAUGAAGCUUGAAGACUAUGGGCCGAUAGACUUAGACAAAAUAUUUCUCACAGACAUAGCAGAGCAAUGGGUAGUAGAAGAGGAGGAGUCAGUGUUGCACAAGAGAGCGUUCUUUGAGGCUAUCGGUAAGGAAGAUCUUGAAGAAGGUGAUGAGCAGCAUGAAAGAGAAAGCAGUCAGCCAAUGUAUCCACAAAAUCGUCGGAGAUGUCGGUGAUAUUGCACCUAAUGAGGGAGAGUGGGAAAGGGGUCUAAGGGAAAAUGAGAGAUGAUGAUUCCGAGGCCACCCUAUCCCAUCCAUAUUAUUCACAUAUCGAGUCCCAACAGCAACAGGGUAGGGAUGAGCACGACAGUGUAAGUGAGCAUCAAGGAUGGACAAGCUUCAGGGAUUUUGGAUUGGGAACACAACAGAACACUAACACUCAAAAGAUUUAGAUAUAGUCAGAUGCCUGCUAAUAUCGAUGAUUCGUUUUUAGAUCGAAUCAAAGAAUUGUCAAACGAAUUCAAUCGAUGGCACC